CAUUAUGAAGCUAAUCUAGCAUUAACCUUUUAAGUUAAAGACUGGGAGUCCAAACCUCCUCAUAAUGAU
rnacentral:tRNA from 2 species